ACAGUGACUUGCUUGACGAGGCAAGCGAUAAAGAGAAAGGGGGGGAAGGGUGACGUAAGUGGAUUUCAUUCCCUCUAGGGCCGUUAAAAGGCCGAUAGGGUCGCGCCUGCGGAGCGCUACUUUGCGGCGCGGAGGAGCAUCGCGGAGGUAACGCGUACCGCGCUGAUCGUUGAGGCGGCCUCUGAUUGGCUGGUUCGUACCUGCAAUGCGUCAUCUGGAUCGCAGCCGCCGCCGGGACGUGGUGCGGUUCUUGCCGUUGCUGCGCGCGCCGCGCUGUCCUGGCAACUGCGCCAGGAGGCAGAGUUUCCCGCUUUGCGCUUGGCUGGAGAAGCUUUCUUCUCCACCAGUCCCUCCCUGCCGCGCUCAGACCAACGCUCUCCUGCUCCUACUGAGGGGUAGACGAAAACACCCUAAGUGAAGAAGAAAGAGGAAAGAGCCGAUGAACACUUACCCCACGCCCUGCUUUUCAGCCUAGCGCUCCGGGCUCGGGCUCGGGCUCGGGCUCGUGGAGGCCGCACGUUGGCGGGUUCGCUUCCUCGCUGAACCCGUGGAAAUCUGGACAAGGACGAAUGCAGGCGCUCAGCUGGCAGGCUGAUCUGAAAGGGUCUCCCCCCUUUCGUACUUCAGCUGCGCUUUCCUUGCCAAAAGUGAAGGACCAAUGAAAAACCAGAACCCUGCGCUUCCGAUGUCCUUGCUGAUGUAAUGAUGUAAUGGUGGCAGGGAGAGAGGAGAUUUAAUAAACUUUUUCCUACAAAUGAAA